rnacentral:rRNA from 1 species
CGUGUGUGAAGAAGGCCUUCGGGUUGUAAAGCACUUUCAGCGGGGAGGAAGGCGGUGAGGUUAAUAACCCUGUCGAUUGACGUUACCCGCAGAAGAAGCACCGGCUAACUCCGUGCCAGCAGCCGCGGUAAUACGGAGGGUGCAAGCGUUAAUCGGAAUUACUGGGCGUAAAGCGCACGCAGGCGGUCUGUCAAGUCGGAUGUGAAAUCCCCGGGCUCAACCUGGGAACUGCAUUCGAAACUGGCAGGCUAGAGUCUUGUAGAGGGGGGUAGAAUUCCAGGU